GCAGUCUGCAACUCGACUGCAUGAAGCUGGAAUCGCUAGUAAUCGCGAAUCAGAAUGUCGCGGUGAAUACGUUCCCGGGUCUUGUACACACCGCCCGUCACACCAUGGGAGUCGGAUAUGCCCGAAGCCGGUGACCUAACCGCAAGGAAGGAGCCGUCGAAGGUGGAGCCGAUGACUGGGGUGAAGUCGUAACAAGGUAUC
rnacentral:rRNA from 1 species